UUCCCUGCUCAGGAUGAACGCUAGCGGCAGGCCUAAUACAUGCAAGUCGAGGGGUAGAGCGAGCUUGCUUGCUUGAGACCGGCGCACGGGUGCGUAACGCGUAUGCAACCUACCCUUUUCAGGGGGAUAGCCCGGAGAAAUCCGGAUUAAUACCGCAUAAGACCACACGGCGGCAUCGUCGAGGGGUCAAACAUUUAUGGGAGAAGGAUGGGCAUGCGUGCCAUUAGCUAGUUGGCGGGGUAACGGCCCACCAAGGCGACGAUGGCUAGGGGAUCUGAGAGGAUGGCCCCCCACACUGGUACUGAGACACGGACCAGACUCCUACGGGAGGCAGCAGUAAGGAAUAUUGGUCAAUGGGCGCAAGCCUGAACCAGCCAUGCCGCGUGCAGGAAGACGGCCCUCUGGGUUGUAAACUGCUUUUGUACGGGAAUAAACCUUGCUUCGUGAAGCGAGCUGAAUGUACCGUAAGAAUAAGGAUCGGCUAACUCCGUGCCAGCAGCCGCGGUAAUACGGAGGAUCCGAGCGUUAUCCGGAUUUAUUGGGUUUAAAGGGUGCGUAGGCGGCCUGUUAAGUCAGGGGUGAAAGACGGUGGCUCAACCAUCGCAGUGCCCUUGAUACUGAUGGGCUUGAAUGGACUAGAGGUAGGCGGAAUGUGACAAGUAGCGGUGAAAUGCAUAGAUAUGUCACAGAACACCGAUUGCGAAGGCAGCUUACUAUGGUCUGAUUGACGCUGAGGCACGAAAGCGUGGGGAUCGAACAGGAUUAGAUACCCUGGUAGUCCACGCCCUAAACGAUGAACACUCGCUGUUGGCGAUACACGGUCAGCGGCUAAGCGAAAGCGUUAAGUGUUCCACCUGGGGAGUACGCCCGCAAGGGUGAAACUCAAAGGAAUUGACGGGGGCCCGCACAAGCGGAGGAGCAUGUGGUUUAAUUCGAUGAUACGCGAGGAACCUUACCCGGGCUUGAAAGUUAGUGAAGCAUCCAGAGAUGGGUGCGUCCUUCGGGACACGAAACUAGGUGCUGCAUGGCUGUCGUCAGCUCGUGCCGUGAGGUGUUGGGUUAAGUCCCGCAACGAGCGCAACCCCUAUGUCUAGUUGCCAGCAUGUAAUGGUGGGGACUCUAGACAGACUGCCUGUGCAAACAGAGAGGAAGGAGGGGACGACGUCAAGUCAUCAUGGCCCUUACGUCCGGGGCUACACACGUGCUACAAUGGACGGUACAGAGGGCAGCUAGGCAGCAAUGCCAUGCCAAUCUCAAAAAGCCGUUCACAGUUCGGGAUCGGGGUCUGCAACUCGACCCCGUGAAGUUGGAUUCGCUAGUAAUCGCGUAUCAGCAAUGACGCGGUGAAUACGUUCCCGGGCCUUGUACACACCGCCCGUCAAGCCAUGGAAAGCUGGGGGGUACCUAAAGUCCGUAACCGCAAGGAGCGGCCUAGGGUAAAACCGGUAACUGGGGGCUAAGUCGUAACAAGGUAGCCGUUACCGGAAGGUGCGGCU
rnacentral:rRNA from 1 species